UACGGAGGAUGCAAGCGUUAUCCGGAAUGAUUGGGCGUAAAGCGUCCGCAGGUGGCUGUGUAAGUCUGCUGUUAAAGAGUGAGGCUCAACCUCAUAAAAGCAGUGGAAACUACACAGCUAGAGUGCGUUCGGGGCAGAGGGAAUUCCUGGUGUAGCGGUGAAAUGCGUAGAGAUCAGGAAGAACACCGGUGGCGAAGGCGCUCUGCUAGGCCGCAACUGACACUGAGGGACGAAAGCCAGGGGAGCGAAUGGG
rnacentral:rRNA from 1 species